GAUCAGCAUGCCGCGUGUGUGAAGAAGGUCUUCGGAUUGUAAAGCACUUUAAGUUGGGAGGAGCCGUUUAAUACCUUGCUGUUUUGACGUUACCAACAGAAAAACACCGGCUAACUUCGUGCCAGCAGCCGCGGUAAUACGAAGGGUGCAAGCGUUAAUCGGAAUUACUGGGCGUAUCGCGUCCCGAUGAGGGGUUCAGCAAGUUGGAUGUGAAAUCCCCGGGCUCAACCUGGGAACUGCAUCCAAAACUACUGAGCUAGAGUACGUAGAGGGUGGUGGAAUUUCCUGUGUAGCGGUGAAAUGCGUAGAUAUAGGAAGGAACACCA
rnacentral:rRNA from 1 species